UACGAAGGGGGCUAGCGUUGCUCGGAUUUACUGGGCGUAAAGGGCGCGUAGGCGGACAGUUUAGUCAGAGGUGAAAGCCCAGGGCUCAACCUUGGAAUUGCCUUUGAUACUGGCUGUCUUGAGUACGGGAGAGGUGAGUGGAACUCCGAGUGUAGAGGUGAAAUUCGUAGAUAUUCGGAAGAACACCAGUGGCGAAGGCGGCUCACUGGCCCGAUACUGACGCUGAGGCACGAAAGCGUGGGGAGCAAACAGG
rnacentral:rRNA from 1 species